UGAGGCAGGAGGAUCGCUCGAGCCCAGGAGUUUGAGGUUGCUGUGAGCUAGGCUGACGCCACGGCACUCAUUCUAGCCUAGGCAACAAAGCGAGACUCUGUCUCAAAAAAAAAAAAAAAUCUAUUCUGAGGUUUUUUUUUUUUUUUUUUUGAGACAGAGUCUCGCUUUGUUGUCCAGGCUAGAGGGAGUGCCGUGGUGUCAGCCUAGCUCACAGCAACCUCAAACUCCUGGGCUCAAGGAUCCUUCUGCCUCAGCCUCCCCAGUAGCUGGGACUACAGGCAUGCGCCACCAUGCCCGGC
rnacentral:SRP_RNA from 1 species